rnacentral:rRNA from 1 species
CUUAAAGGAAUUGACGGGACCGCACAGCGGUGGAUGAUGUGGAUUAAUUCGAUGCAACGCGAAAACCUUACCUACCCUUGACAUGUCCGGAAUCCCGAAGAGAUUUGGGAGUGCUCGCAAGAGAACCGGAACACAGGUGCUGCAUGGCUGUCGUCAGCUCGUGUCGUGAGAUGUUGGGUUAAGUCCCGCAACGAGCGCAACCCUUGUCAUUAGUUGCCAUCAUUUGGUUGGGCACUCUAAUGAGACUGCCGGUGACAAACCGGAGGAAGGUGGGGAUGACGUCAAGUCCUCAUGGCCCUUAUGGGUAGGGCUUCACACGUCAUACAAUGGUCGGUACAGAGGGUUGCCAACCCGCGAGGGGGAGCUAAUCCCACAAAGCCGAUCGUAGUCCGGAUCGCAGUCUGCAACUCGACUGCGUGAAGUCGGAAUCGCUAGUAAUCGUGGAUCAGCAUGUCACGGUGAAUACGUUCCCGGGUCUU